UAUAUACUCCCUUCGUCCGGAAAUACUUGUCCUAAAAAUGGAUAUAAUGGGCGUAUCUAUAACUAAAAUAAGUCUAGAUCCAUUCAUCCUUAGGACAAGUAUUUUUGGAUGGAGGAAGUAUAAU
rnacentral:pre_miRNA from 1 species